rnacentral:rRNA from 1 species
GAUGAACGCUGGCGGCGUGCCUAAUACAUGCAAGUCGAGCGAACAGACGAGGAGCUUGCUCCUCUGACGUUAGCGGCGGACGGGUGAGUAACACGUGGAUAACCUACCUAUAAGACUGGGAUAACUUCGGGAAACCGGAGCUAAUACCGGAUAAUAUAUUGAACCGCAUGGUUCAAUAGUGAAAGACGGUUUUGCUGUCACUUAUAGAUGGAUCCGCGCCGCAUUAGCUAGUUGGUAAGGUAACGGCUUACCAAGGCAACGAUGCGUAGCCGACCUGAGAGGGUGAUCGGCCACGCUGGAACUGAGACACGGUCCAGACUCCUACGGGAGGCAGCAGUAGGGAAUCUUCCGCAAUGGGCGAAAGCCUGACGGAGCAGCGCCGCGUGAGUGAUGAAGGUCUUCGGAUCGUAAAACUCUGUUAUUGGGGGGGAACAAAUGUGUAAGUAACUAUGCACGUCUUGACGGUACCUAAUCAGAAAGCCACGGCUAACUACGUG